rnacentral:rRNA from 1 species
AUCACUCACGCGGCAUUGCUGGAUCAGGCUUUCGCCCAUUGUCCAAUAUUCCCCACUGCUGCCUCCCGUAGGAGUCUGGGCCGUGUCUCAGUCCCAGUGUGGCUGAUCAUCCUCUCAGACCAGCUAUGGAUCGUACGCCUUGGUGAGCCUUUACCUCACCAACUAGCUAAUCCGACGCGGGCUCAUCCCUAGGCGAUAAAUCUUUGGUCCGAAGACAUCAUACGGUAUUAGCACACGUUUCCAUGCGGUUAUUCCGAACCUAAGGGCAGAUUCCCAC